GAUGAACGCUGGCGGCGUGCCUAAUACAUGCAAGUCGAGCGAACAGACGAGGAGCUUGCUCCUCUGACGUUAGCGGCGGACGGGUGAGUAACACGUGGAUAACCUACCUAUAAGACUGGGAUAACUUCGGGAAACCGGAGCUAAUACCGGAUAAUAUAUUGAACCGCAUGGUUCAAUAGUGAAAGACGGUUUUGCUGUCACUUCUAGAUGGAUCCGCGCCGCAUUAGCUAGUUGGUAAGGUAACGGCUUACCAAGGCAACGAUGCGUAGCCGACCUGAGAGGGUGAUCGGCCACACUGGAACUGAGACACGGUCAAGACUCCUACGGGAGGCAGCAGUAGGGAAUCUUCCGCAAUGGGCGAAAGCCUGACGGAGCAACGCCGCGUGAGUGAUGAAGGUCUUCGGAUCGUAAAACUCUGUUAUUAGGGAAGAACAAAUGUGUAAGUAACUAUGCACGUCUUGACGGUACCUAAUCAGAAAGCCACGGCUAACUACGUG
rnacentral:rRNA from 1 species